GACGAACCGUGCGAACGUUGUUCGGAUUCACUGGGCUUAAAGGGCGCGUAGGCGGCGGCUCAAGUCGGGGGUGAAAUCCUUCCGCUUAACGGGAGAAUUGCUUUCGAUACUGGGUCGCUGGAGGGGGAUAGGGGUGCGCGGAACUUCCGGUGGAGCGGUGAAAUGCGUAGAUAUCGGAAGGAACGCCGGUGGCGAAAGCGGCGCACUGGAUCCCUACUGACGCUGAGGCGCGAAAGCCAGGGGAGCAAACGGG
rnacentral:rRNA from 1 species